rnacentral:rRNA from 1 species
CCUACGGGUGGCAGCAGUCGAGAAUCAUUCACAAUGGGGGAAACCCUGAUGGUGCGACGCCGCGUGGGGGAAUGAAGGUCUUCGGAUUGUAAACCCCUGUCAUGUGGGAGCAAAUUAAAAAGAUAGUACCACAAGAGGAAGAGACGGCUAACUCUGUGCCAGCAGCCGCGGUAAUACAGAGGUCUCAAGCGUUGUUCGGAAUCACUGGGCGUAAAGCGUGCGUAGGCUGUUUCGUAAGUCGUGUGUGAAAGGCGCGGGCUCAACCCGCGGACGGCACAUGAUACUGCGAGACUAGAGUAAGGGAGGGGGAACCGGAAUUCUCGGUGUAGCAGUGAAAUGCGUAGAGAGCGAGAGGAACACUCGUGGCGAAGGCGGGUUCCUGGACAUUAACUGACGCUGAGGCACGAAGGCCAGGGGAGCGAAAGGGAUUAGAUACCCCGGUAGUC